UACGGAGGGAGCUAGCGUUGUUCGGAAUUACUGGGCGUAAAGCGCGCGUAGGCGGUCCAUCAAGUCAGAGGUGAAAGCCCGGGGCUCAACCCCGGAACUGCCUUUGAAACUGGCGGACUAGAAUCUUGGAGAGGCGAGUGGAAUUCCGAGUGUAGAGGUGAAAUUCGUAGAUAUUCGCAAGAACACCAGUGGCGAAGGCGGCUCACUGGCCCGGUACUGACGCUGAGGUGCGAAAGCGUGGGGAGCAAACAGG
rnacentral:rRNA from 1 species